AAACACACUUCAAAGCUGAUGUUACGUUUGUUGUGAACGUUAGCGCUGGCUACCUGCCUGUUUUAUCUUACAGGUGUUCGCAGAAGGGCAGUGUUCACCUGUGUGCUCGCUUUAUUUUCUCAGAAAUCCGGAGUAGUGGAGACAACAUGGUAAACGUGUUCGAUACGGACGAGGAGCACUUUGCUGUUUCCAGUUCCUCGGCUGCAGACACGGCCUUCGAUGGCGUUAUUGGCUGCAUAGAGGACAUCAUCAUGGAGGACGACUUCCAGCAGAUUCAGCAGAUUUUCAUGGAGAAACAUUACCGUGAGUUUGAUGACU